rnacentral:rRNA from 1 species
CCUUAGAGUUUGAUCCUGGCUCAGGAUGAACGCUGGCGGCGUGCCUAAUACAUGCAAGUCGAACGAAUCUCUUUUAGAGAUGAGUGGCGAACGGGUGAGUAAUACAUAGGUAACCUGCCCCUGUGCGGGGGAUAACAGGAGGAAACUCCUGCUAAUACCGCAUAGCCAUGAGCACCGCAUGGAGCUCAUGCCAAAUAUCCUUUCGGGGAUAGCACAGGGAUGGACCUAUGGCGCAUUAGCUUGUUGGCGGGGCAACGGCCCACCAAGGCAACGAUGCGUAGCCGGCCUGAGAGGGCGGACGGCCACAUUGGGACUGAGACACGGCCCAGACUCCUACGGGAGGCAGCAGUAGGGAAUUUUCGGCAAUGGGGGAAACCCUGACCGAGCAACGCCGCGUGAGCGAAGAAGGCCUUCGGGUCGUAAAGCUCUGUUGUAAAGGAAGAACGGCGCAUACAGGAAAUGGUAUGCGAGUGACGGUACUUUACCAGAAAGCCACGGCUAACUACGUGCCAGCAGCCGCGGUAAUACGUAGGUGGCGAGCGUUAUCCGGAAUCAUUGGGCGUAAAGAGGGAGCAGGCGGCCGCAAGGGUCUGUGGUGAAAGACCGAAGCUAAACUUCGGUAAGCCAUGGAAACCGGGCGGCUAGAGUGCGGAAGAGGAUCGUGGAAUUCCAUGUGUAGCGGUGAAAUGCGUAGAUAUAUGGAGGAACACCAGUGGCGAAGGCGACGGUCUGGGCCGCAACUGACGCUCAUUCCCGAAAGCGUGGGGAGCAAAUAGGAUUAGAUACCCUAGUAGUCCACGCCGUAAACGAUGGUCACUAAGUGUCGGGGGUCAAACCCCGGUGCUGCAGUCAACGCAAUAAGUGACCCGCCUGAGUAGUACGUUCGCAAGAAUGAAAC